CCUACGGGAGGCAGCAGUGGGGAAUUUUGGACAAUGGGCGAAAGCCUGAUCCAGCCAUACCGCGUGCGGGAAGAAGGCCUUCGGGUUGUAAACCGCUUUUGUCAGGGAAGAAAUGCUUCGGGCUAAUACCCUGGGGUGAUGACGGUACCUGAAGAAUAAGCACCGGCUAACUACGUGCCAGCAGCCGCGGUAAUACGUAGGGUGCAAGCGUUAAUCGGAAUUACUGGGCGUAAAGCGUGCGCAGGCGGUUCUAUAAGACAGAUGUGAAAUCCCCGGGCUCAACCUGGGAACUGCAUUUGUGACUGUAGAGCUAGAGUACGGUAGAGGGGGAUGGAAUUCCGCGUGUAGCAGUGAAAUGCGUAGAUAUGCGGAGGAACACCGAUGGCGAAGGCAAUCCCCCUGGACCUGUACUGACGCUCAUGCACGAAAGCGUGGGGAGCAAACAGGAUUAGAUACCCUGGUAGUCCACGCCCUAAACGAUGUCAACUGGUUGUUGGGAGGGUUUCUUCUCAGUAACGAAGCUAACGCGUGAAGUUGACCGCCUGGGGAGUACGGCCGCAAGGUUGAAACUCAAAUGAAUUGACGG
rnacentral:rRNA from 1 species